AGGCCGCGGGGCGGCCUGGCACGGGAGAAGGGGAGGAAAUAAUCAGGGAAUGUUUUAUGUGUGCUUAAAAUUUUGAGGUUUCUCACUGCGUUGUUUUGCGGUCCUGCCUCAGGAGAGCCUCUGGAAAUGGAAAUGGAGAUCCCCGGCGGCACCUGCGAAGUUCUCCGUUGUUCCUCCCAUCCAGAGCCGCCCGCUGAGCAAGCUGCAGGAUGGAACUGCUGCUGCUGCUCCGUGGAUUUAUUUAGGAAUUAGAAUUUCCCUAACUGCUGGGCUCCCCUUGGGAAAACAAGAGCCCAGGAUGGCUGGAUCACACACCAGCAAACCAGGCUUGGGCAAGGAAUUCCUCUGGGAACCUGGCAAGUGCUUUUACUGUGAAUACAGGUAAAGAGGACACGUAAUUUAACAACUUUGCUAUCCCUCUGUAUGAAAAAAAAAACAAACUACUUGCUUUCUUUUCACCUGAGUGCUUUUCCUGCUGGUUUGUGUUGUCCCUCUGACACCACUAUUGCAGGUAGGGCAGAGUCAGCUUCCUGGCCAUUGCAGCAGGAGCAGAAUCACUGAUUGAGCUUCCUGAAUUUCUAUUCAUUUUCAUGUUGAAGUCAGCAAUAGUAACUUUUAAUGGUCAGUGGGCCAGGCUGACAACUAUAUGUAAAUAGAGAGAUCUGUAUUGUAGAACAAAUGUGGUAUAAAAAAAUCAGAGAAAGCACCAUUGGUUUUCUCCCAAACACCUUUCAGAGUGAAAACCUCAUUUCAGCUUCUCUGCUUGUGAAGGGAAAGAAGCCUUGAACUGCAAGAGGUGUGUAAUGUCUAAAAAUCCUUGUGAAGGGAUUUACCUGAAUCGUGUAACCAGCACUGAUUACACACAAAAAGCCUCCCAGAACACAGGAGAAGGAUGGGUGUGCUCAGAGGUGUCCUGUUAGCCCGGCAGGGGGAGGAUUGCAGGCCAGCAUCCUGCAAGGAGCCAUCCAGGCUGGAGCAUCCCCACUGUCACUGCCUGGGCAGGGUGCUGAGCCACAGGGUGGGGCUGAGUGAGAAACCCCUGCUGCAUGCUGGGUUCUUGGAAGAGAGCAGGGUUUCUGCACAGACACACUCUGCAGGUCCAGGUGAGCACCCUGAUGUGCCACUGCAGCUUCUCAGCAGCUCUUGCUGGGCCUGGUUUGCUGCUGGUGGAGUCGUUGGGGUCUCAGCAUUUCCUGCGUUAAUGUCUGUGCCACAAUUGCUAAUUGACCAUGAAAUUUUAGCCUCCAGUCACACGUACAUAUCUGAGGGGAUUUUGUUCUAGUCAAGUAAGUGUUCUUGACCACCAUUAAAAGCUCUGACUUGUGUAGCAGUGGAUGUCACUGAAAAUUCAUGGUUGUUUGCUUAUUAUUCAAAGCAAUACCCUGGCUUUCUGAUAUAACAUAAGGGUAAAUUGUAAAUUUAUUUCCUACACAGUGGUUAAAAUCCAUUGUGUAGAGAGGAGUUGUAUCCCAGAAGAAUGUAUUCCUAUGCUACCAAAACAGAUUUAAAUCUGGUAGCUAGUAAUUGUUUCAUCUCAAAAAAAAAGCAGUCUUUGUUAGAAAAAAAGGAUAUUUUAGAGACACUAAGACUUGGGAGCUCUAGCAAAACAACUGAAGAGGAAAUAUUUUUCUGUGCUAAUAGAAGUGAUAUAAUAUCCUGAUUUGUAAAUUCAGGAAAAGCAUCUUGUAAAAAUAGCUCUUAGAAGAGCUGUGGACCUCUCUAAAGUGUAGGAUUCUGCUGCUGGAUUUGCCUUCCUUGACCAUACAAACAGCAGUACCCUUGCUCCUCUCCAAGGAAAUCUGGGGUUUAACUACACAUGCAUCUUGGCAGAGACAAGAGACCCAAGUGUGACAAAAAGGCAAUUGCUCUCAUCUUACAGAGUUUGAUUAAAGCUUUAGGCACAGAGCUUUUUAAAUGACAAAUGCUCAGUGAAAUAAUAUUAUGUCUUUAUACUCCAGAGCACUAUUAAUCUGAGGUUUCAGGACCUUAAGAAAUGUUAAUUAACUCAUUACCACUGGUGUAAAGUGUGUGAUUGUACUCAUCUCGUGGGCUGGUAGCUGAGGCAUGGAAAUACUGGGUUCUUCAGGAAGAAGCAGAUUGGGGGUCCCUGCCGUGUGUGUUCCCUGCCAGGGAUUUACAGAGAUGUUAACUGCUCAGGCACUGGUGAGCUCCAUGGAUCUCCCUUCCAGUUAGCCCAAAAGGAGCAGGAACAAUUUCGGCAGGGACUGAACAACUGCAGGAUGUUAAUGCAGCCUGGAUAUUUGGGAGCCCAGAUUUGAGAGCUAAGAAGCCAGGCAGUGCUCUGAGGAGCUGAAGGAGCUGCAUGUUCAAGGAAAGAACAGAGACGCUGUUGGCUGUUCUGCAGAAAGGCAAAGGUUUGCAUCACCUUAAAUAUAUUUUUUUCAGAAAGCUGCUGUCUCAGAUUAGGGUAAACAAUGUGCAAAUUAGGAAGCCAUUUCCCUUGAAAUGCAUCUCUGCACAGGCUUGCUGAAUCUGUUUGUGAUUCCAGUGGAAUUAAAGAAUAGGGUCACUGCAGGACACAGCUCACAACAGCAGUUUGUGUGGGUAUAGCAAUUGUUUACCUAAUAAUGAAUAAUCUGCUGUACAUAUUAGAUCUUAAUCUUAAAUCUGUUUUGAGUGGUAAAAACUUUAGGCAUGACAUUUUAAUAUACUUUCCACAAUUUUUAAUUCAAUCACUACUUUCCAGUACCACUGAGAACAAUUUAGCCACUGAAACUCUUUUUGAGUCUUGUGAAAUUGUUGAUCUCGAUGAUUUCCCUUAACAAUUAAGUUUUGUAAUAUAAUUACACGUUUAUAUUCAUUUAUUACUGUUAUUUUUGCAUUUCGCAACAAAUUUCCCCUUGUUUUCCUGUUACAGGACAGUGAGUAACUGAAGUUCAAAGUCUACCUUUUCUGUAAUCUUCUGUAAUUUUUAUGUUUGUUUUUUUUUUGUCACAGGCCUUCCAUGCCUGAUUCAUUUUUAGGGUAAACCCCAAACUUCUUUCAGUUUGCCUUUUCCCUUGCCCAGGUCAUUCUUCUCAUCCUUCUGUUAAUUUCACCUGACUCUGAGGUGUCCUUUUUUCCAACCUGCAUCAUUACACUUUCUUCCAGAUGAAGGCACUGAUUUCUCUUAUAUUCUUUAGCUUCCUAAUUAUCAUUUUUCUUAUGCAUCCCAACAUUCUGUUCACUUGUUUUGACCUCAGUCUGCUCUCUGUGACCCUUUCUGAGAAUGCUGUGAUUGAUACAAGUGACUCCUCUUGUUCCAUUCCAUAGCACAACCCUUUGGAGUUACCACAUCUGAGCUCUGUGCCCUCAGCCUGCCCAGCUGAUGCUCCCUAAUUGAAGGGAAUAAUAUUUGGAGUUCUUUCUGGUUCUCUCUAACCUUCAUAUAAAUAACCCAUCACCUAGAUUUUACUGCUCUCUUUUCAGAUCUUUGCUCUCUUCUCAAAUCAGUAAUCAAUAUAUUAAAUCACAGAAUACUAUUAUUUUGCUUAGUAAAAUUGCUGAUAUAAUUCCAAUAUGAAAAAACCCCUAGUCUGACAAUUUCUGUGCCUCUGAGGAAGUUUUACCCCGUUUCCUGCCCGUGUGGGGAGGGACGAGGACAAGGCAGGUGUGGGGAGGGACAGGCCGGGCCCUCCCGCAGGGGCCAAUCCUCGGUGCGGGGCCGCCACCUCUCGGCCACGACCGGCACAGCAGCGGCACCGUAGGCACCCCGCACCUCUGCAUUCCCGCACCCCUGCAUUCCCGCACCUCUGCAUUCCCGCACCCCUGCAUGCAUUCCCGCACCUCUGCAUUCCCUCACCUCUGCAUUCCCUCACCUCUGCAUUCCCGCACCCCUGCAUGCAUUCCCGCACCUCUGCAUUCCAACACCUCUGUAUUCCCGCACCUCUGCAUUCCAACACCUCUGCAUGCAUGCCCGCACCUCUGCAUGCCCGCACCUCCGGCACCCCCCACCUCUGUAUUCCCGCACCGCUGCAUUCCCACACUCCCACAUCCCGCACUCCCGUGCUCCCGCAGCGCUCCGCAGUGGCUGAUUGCCGCCCGCAGCUGCCGAGGGGCCGCGUUUCAGGCGCUGCUGGGCAGGGCCGCGGGCCUGGGGCUCCAGCUCUGCUCCCAUGUGCCCCCUCCCGCACACCCCAGGCUGCGUCCAGGGCAAAGCCUGCCGAGAGCGGGCAGGACCGGUUACAAAUCCCUGCCCCCAUCCCAAGGGGAAGGGAGUGCAAUCUGCGGAAUUUCUCUCUGCGUGAGUUUGAAAACCUGUAAAACCUGCGGGACAUAAAAACCCGGUGGUACUUUCUAGCCAAGACACGUUCACGUGUUAGAAAGCUGAUCGACAGCUGCGCUCUUUGGUACAAAGGCUGUGGUGCAAGAGUGGGAUGGGGCGUGGGGAGCCCCAUCCGUGACUCAGCAGGGGUUCGCUUUCUCAGCACUGCCACACUGAGGUGUCCUGCGGCAGGUUAGGAGUGCCAGCUGUCUGCAGAGUGGAUUCGAGGAGUGCAUCUGCACAGGAUCCAUCAAUAUCCACAUUUCCUAAACCUGCACGUGCCAAAAUUUUGUUUUAUCUAAUGACCCAAAGUCCUUAUGAGCACUACAUGAACCACAGAGCUACUGGAACCAAACAGUUGCUGCAUACAGGAAUCAAUGCCCAUAGAGAAGCAAUACAGCAUACACAGAAUGAGCAGUGGGAGCCUUAACCAGAGUGAGCACUGCCUGGGAUUGCUGUGCUGACCAUCAAGAAAGACUUGAAAAGUAUUUUGAAUAGACAAGCCCAGGAACAAAAAUAACAGGGCAGGAAAAAACAUGGAUUUAAUGAAGAUACUGAUUUUACAGUACAUGGACAUUUUCCACACGCAUUUCACGUCAUGGCCAAAAAGAAAUGGAAACUGCCCCUCUCUGCUCUGUGUAAGACCUGUAUUACUUUCUCCCCUUCAAGUUUGCUCCACUGUUGCAGAUGCCAGGUACCCUGUUUUUUCCCCCUCAAAUUGUUUAACUGAUUUACUUAGCAAAGUUAAAUCCAGAGCAAUUUCUUCCUGUCUAUCCUUAGCAAAAAGUUUGCUCUUUCUGUGCCACAUCUCAAGAAGAGUUUGUAUCUGACCACUCUGAAUAAAAAAUUGACCUCUCCUUGCAAGCCAUCCCGCUCUUAAAAAUGUAGGGCACUUCAUUUAUUACAAAUACUUAAAAUGUAGAUGUAGGCAGUCAGCUCAGGCAUUUCAGAAUUGGUGCACUGACACAGUCACCUGCCCUCACGUUGCUCUGGGUUUUUAUCCCCCAAAAUGCUGCUCCAAGUGAGCUCUAGUUCACCCAAAUCCCCAUAGCAAUUUUGCACUCAGGUUUGUCGCCCAGCUAAACCCAAAAGCUGUGAAGCUCUGCAAAUCUGGCUCCUUUCUUGUCUUUGAAGCCUGGGAGUGGAUUUGAAAGUCUGAUGCCUUUUUUUAUUAUCAGUCGUCAGGAGAAUCCAUUCUACUAAUUUCUUUGUGGCCACACAAGGGGUUUGUUUCCUUAGUGGAAAAUGAAAGCAGGAUUGCAAGCUGUAGUUUUGUUUGGUUUCAUAUAAUAAGUUAGUAAUGGAUUUAAAUGGAAGUGGAAUUAUAUAUGAAAAUUUUUUAUCAUACCACAAAAUUUCAAUUAGGGGAAAUUAGCCACUUGGUUCUUUCUGAUAAAUUAAUCAUAGAGAUUAUCUAUUAAAUGUGCCACUUAACCUUUCUGGCAUAAGUGCCUGAGGCAGUAGUAUUUAGGCUCUCCACAUUAAUUUGGAAAUAUUAAUUUCUAGGCAGCUGUCUUCCAAAAUGGAAUUUUCACUUGUCUUUUUCCUGAGUAGGUCACUGUGCAGCUGUUGUUAAUGGAGGCUGGCCUUUGUGAAAUGAGCAAUCCCCCACUGCACCCCCUCGCUCACAGAAGGGACCCCAUCAAUCACAGGGUGUCCCUCACUGACAGACCCUUUCUCACCCGGAGGGGUGACAGCCUUUGGCCUUUGGGCAGGGAAUGUGUUCCAGGGGUUGUUCUGCAGCAGCUGAAGCACCGCUGUGUCCAUCCUGUCUGCCCUCCAUCAGGGAAGGCUUUGCCUUGACUCCGUGUUAUCUCUUCCAUCUGCGUUAGAGGAAUUAUUCCUGAGGGGAACUGGUCUGACAGCUCUGAGCUGCCAAAGAAACAGCCGGUUCAACUGCUGACCCCCCAGGUCCAAACCUUCCUUCUCCCCUCUGCAGUGGAAUCAAUUGGCCCUUUCACUGGGGACAAGGCCUCGCUGUCCCUGCAGUGCUCAGCUGUCACGCAGCUGAUGGAGAGACAGCAGCUCCUGCAACAACAGCUACAAACCUUGUCCUGUGCUCUUUAGAAUCAGGGUGUAUCUCACCUGGCCUGGAUAUAUCUCAUCUGUUGUAAAAUUUGCAUAGUCUGCUGCAGGAACAGUUGGAACUCUGGAACUCUGGGCAUUCCAGGGAAAGAAGAGAGGAAGUAAGAAAGUGCUGGCACCAAGGAAGCAGUCCAAGGAAAGAAAACAUGAAUGGCAGGUAACUUGUGUAAUUUAAGGGUAAUGAAAUGAGAGAGAACAUCUCAAAAUCUUAGAAUAAAGUGUUACAAAAGGAAGUAAAUGGAAUUGAUGUUAUGUGAGUAGCAAGCACAUUAGUUAUGGGUAACCAAACCAGUGUCCUGGAAAGUAGAAUUGGUAGCAAGGCAGUGAUGUUACAGUCACAGUGUGUCCCUACUGUGAACUAGAAUCAAUACAUUAUUGAUUACCUUAGUGAUUGCCUGAGCCUACACAUUCUUGCACAGACACAAUUAAUCAUGAGAAGAAUGCUUAUAGAUUUGUGAUGUGAAGCCAACAAAGUCCUGCUGACUUCGGGUUUGUGAAGAUCUUCAAGGUUUAGGAUCUGGAGGAUUUUGAGACAAUUCAAACAGGGCAAGGACUGUGAUAGGACAGGGAAGGGGAAACAAAAUUGAGACCUGUGUCUCAGCUGUAGUUGAGUGAACUGCAGCUUGGACUGAGGUACAGCUGGGCAGCUGUGCUGCACAAGGCCAUGGGAUCCAAACGUUGUGCGACAAGGAAAAGAACAAUUACAAGAUUCAGAGCAGUGAGAAGCUGCAGAGUUAUAAUGUGGUUCCAUAGUUUGGAAAGGAAGUGGAAAAGUGAGGUGUCCUGGAAUAAAUGUGGAGAAGAAGAAGCAAAAUUGAGAUGUUAUCACCAUUUAAGAAAACACCAGGAACACUGGGAGGACCUGCAAGAGAAGUGAGUGUAAGUCUGUACACAUGGCAGACCUUUGGCUUGAAGCUGAGCAGUGGGAAGAGGUGAAGGUGCUCUGAGAACAGUGACUACUGCUAAUGGCAGCAGAGAAACUCAGGGAAAAAUGUGGGGAAGGGAUCCCUGGAUUUGGUAGGGAUGUGGUAAGACUUUCAUAAAAAAAUCAGGUGAGUCAGGAGCAUUUCAUGGCUGCCUAUCAAAUGCUGUCAGCAAGGUUAACAAUUUUAAAAAGGAUAUUUUUCUCUCUAACGGGAGAUAAUUUUUAAGCCAAAGAACUUUACAUCCUGGGUUACAGGUCCUGACUAUGAACAGGAGUCUAGGAUUAUUGAGGGUUUGAUCCUAAAGGCCUUGAAAAGCAAGGAAAAUGUGUAAAGCUGACAUGUCAGUGUGCACAAUGACCCCAACUUCUUCAUAAAGACUUA